rnacentral:lncRNA from 1 species
UAGAAUUUUUGCUUUGUCUUAUCUCUAAAUAUUCCACGUGCCGCCUCCUCCGAAAAAUCCAAACUUUCUUCAAACAUGUAGAACCUGUUUGUGGUGGUGCGACGAGGGUGUUCUUGACCUCCACAUCAUCUCUUUCACCCCGUAGGGGUUGUUUCGUCGUUGCUCUACUCUGUUUCUUGUUGUGGGCUCGAUUCUGUUUCAGCCACCACCGCCUCCCUUGCGGUGGUGGUUUG